UACGUAGGGUGCAAGCGUUGUCCGGAAUCAUUGGGCGUAAAGCGCGUGUAGGCGGCCCGGUAAGUCCGCUGUGAAAGUCGGGGGCUCAACCCUCGGAUGCCGGUGGAUACUGUCGGGCUAGAGUACGGAAGAGGCGAGUGGAAUUCCUGGUGUAGCGGUGAAAUGCGCAGAUAUCAGGAGGAACACCAAUUGCGAAGGCAGCUCGCUGGGACGUUACUGACGCUGAGACGCGAAAGCGUGGGGAGCAAACAGG
rnacentral:rRNA from 1 species